rnacentral:rRNA from 1 species
UACGAAGGGGGCUAGCGUUGUUCGGAAUUACUGGGCGUAAAGCGCACGUAGGCGGAUUGUUAAGUUAGGGGUGAAAUCCCAGGGCUCAACCCUGGAACUGCCUUUAAUACUGGCAAUCUCGAGUCCGAGAGAGGUGAGUGGAAUUCCGAGUGUAGAGGUGAAAUUCGUAGAUAUUCGGAGGAACACCAGUGGCGAAGGCGGCUCACUGGCUCGGUACUGACGCUGAGGUGCGAAAGCGUGGGCAGCAAACAGG